UCUCUUCUUGAGCUUGGACAUCAAUCUUCACCUGGCCUGGCACCUCAGACAUCGGAGCCCUUUGUUCUCAGGCCUUAGGACUCCUAGACUAACUGGCGGUGUCCACGACCUCCUAGCAGGCUUCCUGGUUCUCAGAUUCAACUGAAUUGCACCACCAGCUUCCUGGUUUUCCAGCUUGCAGAUGGCAGAUGGUGUGGAUUCUUAGCCUCCAUAACCAUAGCAGACUUCACCCAAGCAAUGACAGCAGAGCAUCUACUUUCUCCAUCCGUCUUCAUUAAGCUCUUUGCUCAAGUGGUGCUCAGAUUGCCUCAGGGAGUGGAGUUUGUUGAAAGGAAGCAGGGGGAGGCAAGGAAGUCUGGAACCUUCCUCCGCAGUGGCACAAGCACACUUGUCCCUGAGUUUCUGCACUUGGAACAGCCUGCAGUCAACAAGGCAAUGCUCAUAAUCACCCAGGAUGAACUAGCAACUCCAGUGUCCCAACCCCCUUAGCGUCCUCUCCUACUCAGAAGCUCAAGGCUGCCUGCAGUUUUCACUGUGUUGUCGGUGGCAAGGGCAGGAGGCUGCACAAGGGGCAGCCUGCUAUGCAGAACCACCAUAGUCAGAGACACUAUCAUUAAGUCAAAUCAUAAACGUUGUAAUGAGAUAGGAGGCACAGAGGCCACUCUAUGGACUUUCAGACUGUCAAAGGUUCAUCCGCCAAUUGGCUGACCUUUCUCAUGCCCACCCUCUUGUCUCAACUGGCUGCAGUCAGAAUAAUGCUUUCUUGGGCAUUCCAAGUGUCAUGACAUGGGUGAAGUCAUCCUAUACAUAUUCCCAUUUCACAGGAAAGAGCUACUGCCUCAAAUCAAAGGAUGUGCAAACAUAGUCUCUGGAGUCCCUAAGUCCUCUAAAAGAGUUCUUCAAAUGAAUUUUUAAAUAUUAUGUUUUAAUUUUCAUAAAAUUGUGUAAGUAUGUAUGGACGAUUUACUUCCAAAAGAUGGCCAUGGCAUUCAAGUGCCUGUGUUUGCAUUUUGGUUUAUGAUCACAAUGGUGCCAAGAUGUAUGCCUUUGGUUAUUGUGGGCUAAUGACAAGAGUGGAGACCAACUAUACGUAAAUGAUAAAUAAUUCCUUCUUGCCAAGUAAAGAUCAGAGAACCUUAUGAUCUCUACAAAUUAGGGUUUUGCAGAAGUUCUAUUACAGAAGAAUGGUGGAAAGUUGGUCCUUCACAUGGCAUUCUGUAACACAGGCCAUGUGAAAUGCGAGACAAACUGUGAUUGCACAGUCACAUAUUCAUCUUGAAAGGGCAAUUUACUUUCAGCAAAGCAGCAUCAUCCAUCACAUUGAAUUUAUGUU
ensembl:lncRNA